CAUGAUAUAAUGAAACAACAUUGUGGAGAGGAAAGCAUUAGGGGAGCCCACGGCUACAAAAACAAGUGAGUGAGAAGAGGUGGGAGGAAGAGAAACUACGCCACCUCCCCUGCAGCCGAGCGGCACGCAGCAGCAGCCCGCGGGAAGUGGGCGACGCCGGGGGGGAAGGGAGACCCGGUCCCCAGCCCCGGCCCGGGGACCCCGCUGCCCACCGCCAAGAGAACAACUUUUAGCCGGCAGCCUCGGCCAGCACUGCACCUGUCUCCGGAGCCUCCAUCGCUCCUCGUGAUGACCAAAGGGGCAUUCUAGAAGAAUAUGUUCUACAAAUAUACAUGCGCAUCAUUUUCCCCCUUGCGUCUCGCUCCGGAGGAAGGAAAGAGAAAGGGAUUUAAGCAGCAGCGUGUGUUCAGCCCCAAGGGUGAAAAGAGUUGGGAUAUUUUAUCAUCUGGAGUUUCUCUGCCUCGCUGAUGAUCUAAGCUCAAACCUGCCAGUUUAUGGGAGAUGAUAGAAAACACCCUCUAACAUCUGAGUUGCAAAAAUAUCUGCCUCUAAGAACUCAGGAGGACCUACUUGGUGGGAGCAAAGGUAGUGAGUCAUACCUGCAAGCUUGGAAACGAGAGUUCGCUUGCGCCUCUUCAUCCAGUUGGGACGUUUCCUAGGCAACCAUUUAUGCAGCAAUUAAAAGAUGAGUUAAGAGGAGAAAAUGGAAAAAACAGAGGUACUUUUAAUGGAACCGAAUAAACCACUGAACAGGCAUCUACGUAGGAGAAAGUUAAUGGUGCAGAAUGCUGCUGACCGCAUGGUUCUCGUCUUAAUACAUUUUCCAACCUUGAACCUGAGACUGCCAGAGGCUCAAGUCUCUGAAUGCUCGUCUGAGCCGUUAUCUGCUGGUGGCCUGGUUCCUGAGCUAACAAGUGGGUGUCCCAGGCGUGCGUGUGGUAAUAGCAGCAGUGGUGCCACGUGGCGCCCAGAGGUCGCCUUGGUCUGUCCUGGAGAUUCUUGGUCCUCGCUGAAGCUUCUGAGUUGAACUGUGAACUUGGGGCAUCCUGAGAAGCGCAGGCAUUUUGGAGUUCCGCAGCAAACCUGGAUGUUAAGUGUCAACACAGCUUAUAAAGUGAAAGCAGGGGCCUUGAGCAAGGGAAUUACCCUCAUCUCGUCGGGACCUGCUUACUGUGCUGGAAAACAAAGUGCUGAUCUUCUGAACAAAUGCCCCCUGAGGAUUUCUGUGCCUGGAAAAUAUCUGUCUACAGAUUUCUUUGACACCCUGUGUGAGGAGACCGAGGCACAGAGUCAAGUAACUUCCCCCAGUUUGUGCGGGGAGUGAGUUCCAGAACUUGACGUUCCAGCCCCAGAAGUCUGCGUUGGACCAUCCCACCGAACUGCCCCAUAGAAACGGGCAGCUUUGGAGGAAGAGCUGGCGGGCUGUAUUUGGAGACGGUGUUUUAGCACUGCCACAAUCCCAUGCGGGAGGGGGCUGCUGGACUUAAAAAGACUUGAGCUUGCUUAAGACUAGUAGGAAAACAAGGCUUUAGAGACGAUGUGACUUGCUUAAGGUCACACUGCAAGUCAGAGUGUGGCGGAGGGUCUGGGGCCAAAUCCUACCAGUUUCCAAGUUUUCUCCUUCCUCUUGGUUGUUAGGUGCCGCUUCUGCUGUUCGGGACCAAAGCUGGUUUCAGUGGUUUGCUCAUGUGCUUUUUGACGAAACCCUGCACCUCAGAGCCCGUUUAUGUUCAGAGGUCCACGUGGCCAUGUGAAGAUUGGCCGUCACAGUAUCUAUAAAGCACCAAGCAGCAAAGAAUGUUGACUGUCACUGAAAGACUCAACGAAGUAAGCAGAUACCACGUGCUGUCGUCCUGUUUACCUAUGUACGUCCUGGAAAGAGAAUGAACGAGCCCCUGUUAAUUUAUCAACUGUUUUUUUUUUCACUUCCCUACUAGUGAACAAUGCGAUUUUUUUCUCUGUGUUAAUUUGAUAGCCAGUCUGCCCAUGCAGACGGCUUUGCAGGAAACCGACCUCUUGCUGGACGAUUAAA